rnacentral:rRNA from 1 species
UACGAAGGGGGCUAGCGUUGCUCGGAUUGACUGGGCGUAAAGGGCGCGUAGGCGGUCUGUACAGUCAGGCGUGAAAUUCCUGGGCUCAACCUGGGGGCUGCGUUUGAUACGUGCAGACUAGAGUGCGGAAGAGGGUCGUGGAAUUCCCAGUGUAGAGGUGAAAUUCGUAGAUAUUGGGAAGAACACCGGUGGCGAAAGCGCCUUGCUGGGUCUGCACUGACACUGAGGGACGAAAGCUAGGGGAGCGAAAGGG